CAGCCCGGCCGCCCGGGACACGCGGGGCGCGGAGCCGCGACACCCAUGGGCCCGGGGAGCGCGGCUGCGGGCGGGCACGGCUGCGGGACACCUUAAAUUUCCAGCCGCUGCCUUUAGAGGCGAACCCGGGGCCUUCGCUGCCGCUCUCUUUGUGCAGACGGAGAGGAGGCGGCGGGGGAAGAGGAGGAGGAGGAAGGAGCUGCGCGGAGCGGAGCGGCGGCAGCGGCCCCUCUCCCGCGGGUGCCCGGCCCCGGCGUGUCCCCGGUGUGUCCCCCGUGUCCCCACGUGCAGCGAACGUAGUGCCCCUGGAUCAUGGUGCAGAGGACCAGAGGUGCAUGGGAGCUCCUGGCACUGAGCAUAUUUAGGAAGUCACCAAUAUUUGUAUAAUUAAUUGAUUUUCGGGCUCCUCCGUGUUGCUCUACAGAAGCAUUUCAAGCUUGACACACAGAAGCUGCUUCUCUGUGAGCAGCUGUGGGGCAUUUGGCUGAUGGUUUCGACAGCAGACAGCAAAGAUGAAUCGAGGACGUGGCAUCCGCUGUCACGACCUGGAAUUUGAACUCUUUGGUGCCUCUCCCUCCUCCCAGAGGGAUGGAGGGGAGGCGGAAGAUCUCGGGAUCUUCUGAUUGCCAUGGAUCCAGCUGGUUUGCUGAGCAUUGGCCUCGUAUCGUGUCUGUGGGCUCUUUUGAGAGAUGAUUUCAGUCUGACAAAAAGCCUGCUUUUUUGCCAUCUGCGUGCAGAAUCUCCAGCAGAAAUUCCAAGAUCUGGAGUGAUGUGGUCCCGUGCCAUGAGAAUGAAUCUGCUCUGCUCACCUUAGGCCGUGCGAGAAGGAGAAAGAGAAGAAGGUGGAGCUCUCUGUGAGCCUGAUAAGUCAUCAAAGGCAUCUGCCUCCUGUGCUGACCUGAGGACGUGACAGAUGUCUGUAGCCUUCACAGGUGCAGGGCCUGCAUUUCAUCGGUCUUUUUUCCUUGGGUGACUUGGAGAGUGGAUUAUUAGCAGCUCAGAUUUCUUUAGCCACGGUGCUUUGUUGUGUACACAUCCGGGUUAAAUCUAAGCAAUAUUUCUGAUCCAUGUAGGCUUCUGACUUGGUUCUGCAUCUUUGGUGUUUAUAAAAUGAUCAGCAUUUGAACUCUUCUGUUCUUUUCCUUAAAUGUCAGCAGAAACUUAUUUGUUUUAAAAAUAAACAAUGCAGCCUCCGCCUGCAAUGUUUGUAAGCAACAAACUGUGGCAUCACAAGAGCAUGAGGAAAUAUUGCUGAUUAAAACCAGGGUAAGAAAUGA